CAAAAGUUAUGAUGUCACCAUGGCCGUAUCCAGGUUUUAAAAUCAGUGAGGUCUGGGGUAGGGUUAAGAAUUGUGCUAUAAUAACCCCAAAUACAACUCAUUACACUUUAAUAGAGAAAUUUUUUGACUUUGUAAAAAAACCAAAUUAAACCACAAUUGGCUCGGUGCACAAGAUGGCGCCGGUGAGCUUCGGCGACGCGAGUGUGUGCAUACUUACUUCCGGUCUUGCGACAUUCAAAUUCACUGUACUGGAAAGUUACAUAAGAAACUUGGCUAAAUAGAUAUAAUGUUUUUCAAAUUAAAUUGCAGAUGGUGGCAUAUCAAAGACAAGAGAAAACAUCCUCCCUACAUUAUUGCGCACUUCUGUGUAGAUAAAAAAAACGUUCUGACUGCUAUUUAUAAGAUCAUGAGGAUUAUGACUGUCAAAUAAGACACUCAAGAGAUUUCUGCAUGUAUGUUUUAUUAACUUUAUUUGAUUACAUAAUUUAUAACUGUAAAUGUACAAUUUAACAAUGUAAUUAUGGUAGAUUUUCAUUAAUUAAAAGAUCGGUGUUUGCAUUUCCCUGUGUAUUUUUAAUAAUAUUUAUCUGUUUAGUGAAAGAUCUGUUGCAUAAAUCAUUAUCUGUCUAUAAGCAGUGCAUGUAUAUUUUUAUGAUUUCUUUUGCAUUAAUUAUCAGAUAAAACAAAUCUUUAAAUUAGUCACGUAUUAGUUGCAUCCUUUUACAUCCCUUUUUUUUCAUUUAAAAAAUAUGUUUGAUGCUAAGUUAACUUUGUGUAAAAUAUUAAAAUAUGUUGUGAAAAUGAUGAUGGAACAAACUGAUGUAUCCUAAUAAUAGCCAUGUAGAUCUUAUUUGCAUUUGAAGUGAUAAUAUAAAUCCUGUAAACAUAUAUAGAAGGCAAUAUCUGGAUUUCUCCAGUUCUCUGCACCGGCGUUUAGCAAAACCAGAAGUAGCUAUGCACAUACUUGCCCAACCGGAAAUCCAAGAUGGCGGAGAUGCAACUAGCCCGUACUCAAUGAACUAGACUUCUUCGUGGAUAGUGUUUGCAUAUAUAUAUAUUUUUUAUUUCAUUCUGUCCUAAAGAUCUCUGCACCAGUGUGGAAGGAAAUGUGUGUGUGUUGAUGUCUUUCUUCUCUUCCUGAAAAACCAGUUCAACUGAAAGUGAAAGAUUUCUGAGCUGCUUUUCAACACAACAGUUAAGAAGAAAUAGAAGAAUCUACAGUACAAAUAUCAUUUGAGAAUCUAAUCUUUGACCUCAGACGACAAACAAACAGAGGCGGACAAAGUACACAACUUCAUUACUUGAGUGAAAGUACAGAUACUACUGGUCAAAUACUACUCCACUACAAGUGAAAGUUGUAAAGACAGAUUUUUACUUAAGUUUUUAAAAGUACUUAAGUAUCAAAAGUAAAAACUGUGAACUGGUGAAGGACGAUGGCGUCUGUUGAAGAUCUGCUCCUGAAAUCACUGAGGAACCUGGUGGAAGAUGAACUGAAGGAGUUUCAGUGGUACUUAGAGAAAGAUCAUGAGUGUAUAUCAAAGUCUGAAAUGGAGAAUGCAAAUAGGUUAAAAACAGUGGAUAAGGUGGUUGCAUGUUUUGGACCAGAAGAAGCUGUGACGAUCACUGUGGUCAUCCUGAGGAAGAUGAACCACAACCAUCUGGCUGACCAGCUAGAGAAAAAUCACAAGCAAGUUGACAAAGCUCCAGUCCAGAAGAGAAGCAGUGCUCAGCCUGAAUCCCAUGUUGUUAACAUCAGAGCUGAAAAUGGUACCAGUGUAAAUGCUCCUGUAAUGAUUGGAAACAACUUCAGUGGAUCAGUAACCUUUAAUAAAUAGGGCUGCCAAAUUCAGAACAGGAAAAUUAGGUAAAUUGGAUUUUUUUUUUUUUAUCAGUGCACUAGAGCUCUCACAUGCUGCUGCCGGGUAUGCAUCUCUCACUCUUAGAUUCAUCUUUGAGCAACUGAUGUUACGUAAUGAUCUGAAUUGGAACUGAAUUUAAUUCUGAAUUGUAUUCUUAGUGUUUAAUUAUGUAAUUGAAAUGAUACAUUUUUACCUGACAAAUAAAAUGUUUUAUUUAUUCAGAUCUCUUCUGAAAUCAUUAUGACUGGUAGAUUAAAGUCCCAUUCAGACGGUAAUUGUUUCUCAUAUGGAUGUCUGUAAAAAUUAAUUUACAUAUCACCUCAGUGAUAAAACUCAUAGAUUCGAAUGGCGAUUUAUUUACAGUGGAGGAGCGAGUUCUGCACUGCUCACAUGGCCAGUCACGUGAUUAUUCUUAUUAUUGUGUAAAUUGUAUUUUAAAAAAUACUUAUGUAAAAUGUAUUCUUAUUAUUCCAAGCAUAUUUUAUAAUAUAUAAUCCUAUUUAUUAUUUGAUUAUUUAAAUCUCCUGUUUAAAAAUAGGAAAAUAGACGUGCUAUAGUUGUAUAUAAUUAUAUGCGAUGUAGGCUAGUUAUCUGUUUAUAAUACACAUUUUAAAAAUUGCAUUGCAUACCUGCUGCUGCCACAAUAAAGACCCAUUUCGAAUGUUUACGUGUUUUUCUUCUCUUUCUGCUCCCAGUCGCUGUGGUGGAGCAGUUGUGAAGUAUUUCCAGCAUUUCAGAAAUAAAUAUGUAUGCAAAUCACACCGAAGUACAAUAUUUACCGUACGGUGUUCAGGAGUGCUCAAAAAGGGAUUAAACACUGAAUUUUGAAUCGAUUUCUUCUCGUAAACUCAAGAGAUGUGGAUUCGGACGGCAAUUAAAUCACCACACGGCCUUGGUGUUUGUCAAAAAACAGUAUGUAAUUCGGCCGGGAAUUUCUACGGGGGUGGUGAGAGACAAACACUGACAUUCUGGAUUCGGACGGCAUUAAGAUCACCUACUACCCCCUGUGUAUGGUGAAAAUCACUUAUGUCCCCUGAGAAACAAUUACCGUCUGAAUAGGGUUUAAGUGGAGUCUGGUAUUACCACAGAAUACCAGACUUGGUCCUGGAGGGCCGGUGUCCUGCAGAGUUUAUCUCUAACCCUAAUUAAACACACCUGCACCAGAUAAUCAAGAGGCUUGUUUGAGAUGACCUAAAUCUGUGCAGAACCGAUCACCAGUGAUCAGAGCAAGAUUACUUACUUACUUACUUACUUACUUACAGACGACGACAGUUACUUCCUGUUUUUACAACAGAUGAAGGUGUUUGGAUAGACACCGAAACGUCUUAAGCUUUUUAUAGUCCAGUGAUUUUAAUGAAAAUUUGUUUAGGCGAGUUUGUCUUUAUUGUUGCUGUUUUCAUUAAAAAAUUAAAAUAAAUAAAACAAUGAACCAUACCCAUUUGUUUUAAAAGAGGGAAAAGACCUUACGACGCAAGUAGCCUAGGCUUAUUCAUUUUGUUAAUAAAAGUUAGAUGUUUAAUAUAGGCCUAUGCGAAUUUGCCAUUAUACUAUUUUAUGGCUGAUGUGUUUUAUGAACCACAAACUACGAUCGUUUUAAAGAAAGGGGAAAUCCAAAAACCUUUUAUUUAUUUGUUACAAAUGUGGGUUUGUCUUACUCGUUCAGUUAAUAAAUUUUUUAUGUUUAAUAUAAGCUGCUUUGUCAUUGUAGUAUUACUGAUGUUGUGUGUGGGAUUUUGUUUGUUCAUUAAGUGUAAUCCUGAAUCAACCAUAAGCAUUAAUUUUGUUCCAAGAAUAGGAAAGAUCUAACGUUAAAGAUCAAAAUAAGCGCUGCAGAUGCGAGAAUACUUGCUGCUGAGGUAAAUAGACGCUCUCGCUCAUUCUCUGCUGCAUCUUUGCAAUGGCUGUAGAAAUGGUCAUUAAUUCUUGAUUUAGGUACGACACAGACAUGUUACAGGUAAUAAUAUGAUUAAAAAAGUCAUGGCAACAAACGACUUCCUAAGUCAGUUUAAGUUUAAUGCCUCAGCUAGAGAUGAUGUACGUUGCGCAUCUGCGGCAACUUGCUGAAUUGUGUUAAUUGGGUUUCUUGCUUUCAUUCUCACUACGAGAUACCUGUCUGUGAUGCAAUGCCCUGUUAUACUGCAUUUUUUUAUAUAAUAUUUAAGGUUUCUAUAGCCAUGGCAUCGUUAUGAUGUAUUAAGAAGUGGAUUUAUUCAUGUAGGACACCACUGAAGGCCUAGGUGUGAAAUUGAUGGACCGCUACUGCUUUAAUUACGAAAGGCAUCCACAAAGCUACCAACUGGAGAAUAUGUUAGUAACACUAACAGAUCAUCAAGGAGCAAUAACCUUGACAGUGAGCAAAGAAAUUGCUGAAAGAAUAAAGAAUGGUGAGUAAAAAAUUAUUCACUGAUGAUGGAAUGAUUUGACUUUAUUUUUGUUGAUUGAAUUUUUAUUUAUGUGUUUAUUUAUUUAUUUUCAGAGAAAAAAAUAUGCAACUUAUAUAAUGCAACAAGUGAGAACUGCAGGACAAAAACAUUUUAUUUUUAACCAUGCUAACAUUUCAAAUGGUUAUGUGAAAAAAUACUUUUGUUCCCCUUGGCAGAUAGUACCCAUUGUCCAGCAACUUCAAUCUGCCCCCCUCCUGUUACUGCCAUCAUCCAGUAUCCCUUGUCCAGUGCCCCGUUAAAAUGAGCAAAAUGGAUCUUACACCACAACCUUCAAAAUCUACUAUACACACAAUCCUCAGUCUCAUUUAAUGAAGUCGAAACGUCAAGAAUCCCAACAUAAAUUCACACACAAGACCACACUGCUGCUGCUUGACCUCACAGGAAGGUACUUACAUAUGUGCCACAGAAAUAAAAUGGCAUUCUACAAAAAACUUGAGCAAGCUUUCAAAGAAAGGGGUUACAAAUUCAGUAAUGAUAAGUUGAGAAAAAAAUUUGGCAACAUGCUCACAACCUAUAAAAGGGCUAAAGACCGGUGUCGGGCAACAGGAGAGGUAACAAUAACAUGAUAGUAUUACAAGGUUAGUGUGUUUUAUGUACUGCAAUCACUGGUUUUACAUUAAAAAUAAAAUCUUAAGCAUGUCCAUUCACAUUUGUUUCAUGUUUUCCCACAGCAAAUGGAAGACUUAUUUGGAAAAUCCGAGUUGGGAUUGCACCAUCAGGCACAAUACGUCCAACUCCACAAACCUCAGCUGGACAGGCCUCGAGCUCCCAGGAACCGCCUCUCCCUGAAGAGCAACCUGGUCCCUCCGCUGCUGUCCCCGCUACAGAACCACAAAGAAAGAGACAAUCAAGACCAACGUUCUGUGACGUUUCUGAAGAGCAUUCAGAGAGGAGAACCGCUGCUCUGGAGUCACUAGUACAGACUGACAUGGAACGAUGGAGAAGAGUGUUAGAAAAAAAACAAAAAAACACUAACAUGCCUUGGGCAAAUAACUGACCAACUAAAAAAAAAGCUAAAUCCCAAGAAAUGCUCAUUAAUCUGUUAAGAAAAUAAAAUAUAACUAUACA